GACGAACGCUGGCGGCGUGCUUAACACAUGCAAGUCGAACGGAAAGGCCCUGCUUUUGUGGGGUGCUCGAGUGGCGAACGGGUGAGUAACACGUGAGUAACCUGCCCUUGACUUUGGGAUAACUUCAGGAAACUGGGGCUAAUACCGGAUAGGAGCUCCUGCUGCAUGGUGGGGGUUGGAAAGUUUCGGCGGUUGGGGAUGGACUCGCGGCUUAUCAGCUUGUUGGUGGGGUAGUGGCUUACCAAGGCUUUGACGGGUAGCCGGCCUGAGAGGGUGACCGGCCACAUUGGGACUGAGAUACGGCCCAGCCUCCUACGGGCGGCAGCAGUGGGGAAUAUUGCACAAUGGGCGGAAGCCUGAUGCAGCAACGCCGCGUGCGGGAUGACGGCCUUCGGGUUGUAACCCGCUUUCGCCUGUGACGAAGCGUGAGUGACGGUAAUGGGUAAAGAAGCACCGGCUAACUACGUG
rnacentral:rRNA from 1 species